CACCCUGUUUAUUUAUUAUAAAUAUAUUUUUUACAAGUCCCAGCUCCUCUUCUUGCCCUACAUUCAGCUCCUUUCACAGUCCCUGCCUUUCUCUCCCCUGUCCAGUAUGGGCUGCAAUACAGACAGACAGAUGGACCCUCUAUGUCAAAGGGUCCCUGGGGCUUGGGGUUGUGGGAGGGUGUUGGUGGGAGGGACUUAUGGAGAGGAGCUGGGGUUCAGACAUUGUCUUUUUCCCUCCUUGUAUAUAAGAAUGUAUAUUUGAUGCCUCAUAAAAGACCUUGUGCUCAC
rnacentral:lncRNA from 1 species